AAAUAAUUUUAAACAUAAUUACAUAUUUUGAAUCAAAUUUAUAUAUUAAUUAUAUAUCUUAUACUCCAUGAUAUGUAACAAUCUACGCAAAAAAAUCUCGUUGAUUUGUGAUCGUCAUGAAGCAUUUUUACGCUUCUAUAAGAGGAUUAUCAAGGAACGACGAGUAAAAAAUGAGAAAUGAAAAGGCGGAGAUUUUGUGAGUGGGCUGUAACAACAUAAUACGAGGCACUAAAAUACAGUGUUUGAUAAGACAGUCUGAAAAUAUUACCAUGAUAAUGAUGGAAAGAUAGGAAGAAUAAUAAGAAUAAUCGUCACGAUUAUACCAUUUAUUAUAAUAAUAAACAAAAAUGAUAAGAAUCUUUUAUUAAUUGUAUAUUUAUUAAUUAUUUCUAAUUUUACAUAAAUUAGAUAAACUCGUUGAAAACAAAAUGUUGCACAAAUUUAUAUCUGAAUAAUAUCUCUGUCUACAAUACGAAUUUUCAUUAUACUUAAUCCAUUCGUGAUUUCAUGCUAUAUUUAACGUAUGUCAAAGAGAAACAAAAAAAAGAGGGAGAGAAAUAGAAAAGGAGAAAUAUAGGAAGAGUAAAGGUAGUGAAAUUAAUAGCAAAUUGUAACCAAAAUUUAAAUCUUACCGUGAUACCCAUAUACUCACCUGAGAAACUGCGUAUUUGUACCCGCAUUCCCAAUACAAGUGGAUAGAUUGACACGGUGAUUAAGUGGUACGGCAUCUCAUGUUUACGUGUACAUUAGUUUGUACAACAAGGGUGUGCGUGGUACGCAUUGUACGUGGCAGGUAUAACGAUUAAAGGCCAGUUCACAAUGCAACAUGGGUCAAAGUUAUAGGUAAAAUCCGAAAUAUUAGACGCUCAAGGGACGCUAUUUCCACUAUAUAUAUUAUAUUUGAUGGAAAAAGAUAUAAUGAAGUCGUGAAAAUGAUCAAGAUUAAAAUUUUUAAAAUUAUCUUUGGAACGUUAUUUAAGAUAUUGAUUAUUGGAUAUAUGAAAAUUUAUGUAAAAGCUCCACGUGCUACUAUUGGUCAAUAGGAUAUAAUAAAAAAAGAUGAAGAUAGAAUCGAGAAGAUAAAUACGAUUGGUAUGUUUCAUGUAUUUAUGUAUUUCAAAUUCGACGAUUCUUUCAAUAUCAAUAACAAGAAUUUAUUAGAAAAAAACAUUCGAUCAUAAUUAAUAUACAAUUGCAAAUCAACUGGAAUGUAGAAUCAUCGAUUUACAUAAAUACUCAGUACGAAGUAUAUUUUCAUGGGGCAAACAAAGCAUUUUUCUUCCAACAUUCAACCACGUGCUAGGAAUUCCACGAACAUGCGGGCAUACGAACAUGAUCCAUGAAUUGUUUGCAUGUUUUCACACGAUUUCCAUUUAGAUAAACUCGUAUGAUCUGUACGUUCGAUUUUUUAUAUGGCCAUGUGGGCCCGGCAUAUAAUCUUAAAGGAAAUAAAGACAAGGCUUUACAAUUUGUCAAAGUACGGUAAUAAUAAACUGAAUAAAGAUGUUUAUUCUUUUAAAA